rnacentral:rRNA from 1 species
CCUACGGGUGGCUGCAGUGGGGAAUAUUGGACAAUGGGGGGAACCCUGAUCCAGCGACGCCGCGUGAGUGAAGAAGUAUUUCGGUAUGUAAAGCUCUAUCAUCAGGGAAGAAAAUGACGGUACCUGACUAAGAAGCCCCGUCUAACUACGUGCCAGCAGCCGCGGUAAUACGUAGGGGGCAAGCGUUAUCCGGAUUUAUUGGGUGUCAAGGGAGCGUAGACGGUUCAGCAGUUCUGAUGUGAAAGGUCGGGGCCCAAACCCGGGACUGCAUUGGAAACUGUUGAACUUGAGUGCAGGAGAGGUGAGAGGAAUUCCUAGUGUAGCGGUGAAAUGCGUAGAUAUUAGGAGGAACACCAGUGGCGAAGGCGGCUUACUGGACUGUAACUGACGUUGAGGCUCGAAAGCGUGGGGAGCAAACAGGAUUAGAUACCCAAGUAGUC